rnacentral:rRNA from 1 species
AGUGAACGCUGGCGGUAGGCCUAACACAUGCAAGUCGAACGGCAGCACAGUAAGAGCUUGCUCUUACGGGUGGCGAGUGGCGGACGGGUGAGGAAUACAUCGGAAUCUACUUUUUCGUGGGGGAUAACGUAGGGAAACUUACGCUAAUACCGCAUACGACCUACGGGUGAAAGCAGGGGAUCUUUGGACCUUGCGCGAUUGAAUGAGCCGAUGUCGGAUUAGCUAGUUGGCGGGGUAAAGGCCCACCAAGGCGACGAUCCGUAGCUGGUCUGAGAGGAUGAUCAGCCACACUGGAACUGAGACACGGUCCAGACUCCUACGGGAGGCAGCAGUGGGGAAUAUUGGACAAUGGGCGCAAGCCUGAUCCAGCCAUACCGCGUGGGUGAAGAAGGCCUUCGGGUUGUAAAGCCCUUUUGUUGGGAAAGAAAAGCAGCAGGUUAAUACCCCGCUGUUCUGACGGUACCCAAAGAAUAAGCACCGGCUAACUUCGCG